GUUCCCUUACGUUUCAGCAGCAAGGAUGCUUGGCACGGUGAGAAGCCGCUGGGCUCCUUCGGCCCCCUCUCCCCAGCGCGUGGAUGGAAGGGCAGAGCGGGGGAUCUGUGGAGUCUUCUUUGGUGGAGCCCACAGGCCGCGAGGAAGCGCAGGAUUCAUAAGAUGGCGGGCGGCUCAGUCUAAUUGAAAAGGAUAGAAACAGCUGGAAAAACCAAUGGCAGCGUUAACGAUGACAGUGACUGCAGUGACGAC